UGAUUCCUUAUUACUUAUAUUUAUAUAAUUUUAAACCAUCGUAUGAUUAAAUAUUCAAAUAUAAAUAAGCAAACCCCGCUGGCGCCUCAAUUUGGCGUCAUUUAUAUUAUGGGUUAUAUAGUACAAAGUCGAUACGUAGUGUUAUCACAGGCAAAGACACUGGAAAAUGUAAAUAUAUGUAGAUAGAAUUUAUUAUGUGUAAAGUAAAUUGGUUUACAUUAUUAAAUUAACCAGGGCAUUUAUAGAUUGAACGCUACUAGUUUGUUUUUUUUAAACAUCAAAAUCAUUGUUGAAGAGAUUUUUGAAAAAUUAUUAGGGUUCCAAUUAAUUUUUCAACUUAUUAUAGUAUUCCACAUGUGUUUUAUUGGCAUACCUGCAUGUGUGAUAUUGGCAAACCUGUAUUUGACCGAUUUUGUAGAUCUUAUUCUCUGUAAAUUAUUGAACAAACUGUUAACGUUAUUUCUUUUCAGGGAUGUAAAGUUGUAUUGUCUUUUUUUAAUAUUAUAUAUCAUAUAUUAGACCUGCCUAUAUCUAAAUGUAUUAUUAAAUCAUAAUGCUGCAU
rnacentral:sRNA from 1 species